rnacentral:rRNA from 1 species
AACGAACGCUGGCGGCAUGCCUAACACAUGCAAGUCGAACGGGAUCCGAGCUUCGGUUCGGUGAGAGUGGCGGACGGGUGAGUAACGCGUGGGAACCUGCCCAGUGGUGGGGGAUAACUGCGGGAAACUGCAGCUAAUACCGCAUGAGCCCGAGAGGGGAAAGAUUUAUCGCCAUUGGAGGGGCCCGCGUUCGAUUAGGUAGUUGGUGAGGUAACGGCUCACCAAGCCUUCGAUCGAUAAGCUGGUCGUGAGAGGAUGAUCAGCCACACUGGGACGUGAGAU